rnacentral:rRNA from 1 species
GAUGAACGCUGGCGGCGUGCCUAAUACAUGCAAGUAGAACGCUGAAGGAGGAGCUUGCUCUUCUGGAUGAGUUGCGAACGGGUGAGUAACGCGUAGGUAACCUGCCUGGUAGCGGGGGAUAACUAUUGGAAACGAUAGCUAAUACCGCAUGACAACAGUUAUUGCAUGAUAACUGUUUAAAAGGGGCAACUGCUCCACUACCAGAUGGACCUGCGUUGUAUUAGCUAGUUGGUGAGGUAACGGCUCACCAAGGCGACGAUACAUAGCCGACCUGAGAGGGUGAUCGGCCACACUGGGACUGAGACACGGCCCAGACUCCUACGGGAGGCAGCAGUAGGGAAUCUUCGGCAAUGGACGGAAGUCUGACCGAGCAACGCCGCGUGAGUGAAGAAGGUUUUCGGAUCGUAAAGCUCUGUCGUAAGAGAAGAACGAGUGUGAGAGUGGAAAGUUCACACUGUGACGGUAUCUUACCAGAAAGGGACGGCUAACUACGUG